CUGCAUGGCGUGUCGUCAGCUCGUGUCGUGAGAUGUUGGGUUAAGUCCGUACGAGCGCAACCCUUGUCCUUAGUUACCAGCACGUUAUGGUGGGCACUCUAAGGAGACUGCCGGUGACAAACCGGAGGAAGGUGGGGAUGACGUCAAGUCAUCAUGGCCCUUACGGCCUGGGCUACACACGUGCUACAAUGGUCGGUACAAAGGGUUGCCAAGCCGCGAGGUGGAGCUAAUCCCAUAAAACCGAUCGUAGUCCGGAUCGCAGUCUGCAACUCGACUGCGUGAAGUCGGAAUCGCUAGUAAUCGUGAAUCAGAAUGUCACGGUGAAUACGUUCCCGAGCCUU
rnacentral:rRNA from 1 species